rnacentral:misc_RNA from 1 species
AUGCAGUCCAUAAAGGCCGACGAGUUGCCGGAAAAUCCACGCGUACGCGCAAAUCCGUUAUCUGCGCUUUUGCUAUGCUUUACUAUACCGAUAUUUUUCAAAGGGCGUAAAAAAACUCUGGAUGAAAGGGAUCUAUAUAAGGCAUUGGAUGAACACAAGUCAGAAACGCUCGGUAUUAAAUUAAAUGCAGCUUGGGAAGCGGAGAUUGAGAAGAAGCGCCUUAAAAAUAAAGAACCCAACUUGCUUCUAGCUGUGAUACGCGUAUUUGGGUUGCAAUUCUUAGCUUUAGGAUUUUUGCUAUUUUCAUUGGAAAUCGGACUGCGCGUCACACAGCCACUAUUUCUUGGAGGUCUAGUCAAUUACUAUGCGAAUCCCACGAACAAGGAUGACAAAUAUACCGCAUACAUCUACGCCAUGGGUGUGAUACUCUGCAAUGUGAUUAAUGUGCUCUUCAGGCAUCCCUAUAUGCUGGGUAUACAACAUAUCGGCAUGAAGGUGCGUCUCGCCAUGUGCAAUCUGAUUUAUAGGAAAGCGCUGCGCUUGAACAGAACUGCGUUGGGCGGCACCACCACGGGCCAAGUAGUCAACCUGAUAUCUAAUGAUGUCGGUCGCUUGGACACAUCCAUCAUGCACAUACACGUGUUGUGGGUGGGACCCAUAGAGAUCAUCGUUGUAGCUGUACUUAUGUAUAGAGAGAUCGGUAUCGCAUCGCUGUUCGGUGUCGCAGCUAUGUUGUUAUUCAUACCGCUGCAAGCGUUUUUGGGCAAAAUGACAUCGAAGCUGCGUUUGCGCACAGCCUUGCGCACCGAUGAGCGCGUGCGCAUGAUGAACGAGAUUGUCUCGGGCAUACAGGUGAUCAAGAUGUAUGCGUGGGAGAAACCUUUCGGCAAGAUGAUACAGUUUGUACGUCGAAAGGAAAUGUCAGCCAUACGCUACAAUAACUAUAUACGCGGCAUCUUGCAAUCGUUCGCGAUGUAUAUGACCCGCGUAUCUGUUUUCGUCAGCUUAGUCGGCUAUGUGCUGUUGGGUAACUUUCUCACCGCGGAAAAAGCCUUCGUUAUCACUGCCUUUUACAGCAUUUUGCGCAACACCAUGGUUGUGGCCUUUCCCAAUGGUAUUCAACAAAUCUCGGAAACGCUUGUGUCCAUGAAGCGUAUAACAGAUUACUUAUUAUACGAAGAAAUCGGUGAUAACUCGAAAAUUUCAGCGAAUAGCUGUAAUAAAACUAAGAAGACAGACGACCUGAAUGGUAAUCUAAAGUUAACGAAACAAAUAACACAGGAGCCAGUACGUAAAGAAGCUGGCAUUGAAAUAUGUAAUUUGAAAGCGAAGUGGGAUCCCACCGCAAUAGAAUAUACGCUGAACAAUGUGAACUUGAAUGUAAAACCGCGCACACUAGUGGCUGUCAUUGGACCGGUGGGUUCCGGAAAGUCAAGUUUGAUACAAGCCAUACUUGGUGAACUGCCUACGGAAUCGGGUUCCAUUACUGUACACGGCUCCUACUCGUACGCCUCGCAGGAGCCUUGGUUGUUCACUGGCACCAUACGGCAGAACAUAUUAUUCGGUUUACCAAUGGACAAACAUCGUUAUCGCGCGGUGGUGAAAAAGUGCGCGCUGGAACGCGAUUUCGAGCUGCUGCCACAUGGCGACAAAACGUUAGUGGGUGAACGUGGCGCAUCGCUUUCGGGUGGUCAAAAGGCGCGUAUCAGCUUAGCGCGCGCCGUAUACCGUAAAGCCGAUGUUUACCUGCUCGAUGAUCCACUAAGCGCGGUGGACACGCAUGUCGGUCGUCAUCUCUUUGACCAGUGUAUGCGUGGUUAUCUGCGCAAUGAAAUCGUCGUUUUGGUUACGCAUCAGUUGCAAUUCUUAGAACAAGCUGAUAUCAUUGUUAUAAUGGAUAAGGGCAAGAUUAGUGCUGUGGGCACCUAUCAGUCGAUGCGCAGUAGCGGUCUGGAUUUUGCGAAUUUGCUGACGGCUCCAGAAGAGAGUAGUAAGGGUGGUGAUGAUAGCGAUGCGGAAGGAAAGAGUAAGUCAACACAGAUCAAUAUGAAUCGACAGAAUAGCACUGCGACAAUGAGUUCGAUGGACGAGUCGAUAGCGGACUCUUUGAUUGAAGAAGCAGCUGAUUCGCCUUUGCAAGUGCAGGAGAAGCGUGAGAUGGGUAAAAUUGGUUGGGGACUAUAUAAAAAGUAUUUCGGUGCCAGUGGCGGAUAUUUGUUGUUCUCUAUAACGGCGUUCUUCUGUGUUGCGGCACAGAUAUUGGGGUCUACUGGCGACUUCUACGUCUCGAUGUGGGUUAAUAAAAACGAGCAACAACUAGCUAGCCAAGCGCGUGAUUUGGCUGUUAACAUAACUAACGCCACUGAUGCGCAUGAUCCAAGACUGAACAGUAAUACUGACCCAAUGGACAUUUACAUAUUUUUCGGCAUCAUUUUGGCCAUCAUUGUUUUUGCUGUCGGCCGCAGCUUGCUCUUCAACACAAUGACGAUGCUGUCCUCAACGGAGCUGCACAAUGCAAUGUACCGUGGCAUCACACGCGCAUCCAUGUACUUCUUCCAUACAAACCCCUCUGGUCGCAUACUAAAUCGUUUCGCAAAGGAUUUGGGUCAAGUGGAUGAGUUGCUGCCAUGGGUAAUGAUGGAUGUCAUACAGAAUUUCCUGAGCUUGUUUGGUAUUGUCAUUGUAAUCACCAUUGUGAAUCCAAUGAAUCUCCUGGUGACGGCUGUGCUGGCGCUUAUUUUCUAUGCAAUGCGUUCGUUUUACUUAAAUACGUCGCGCGAUGUAAAACGUCUUGAAGCAGUUACACGUUCGCCCAUCUAUUCACACUUGAGCGCCUCACUUAAUGGCCUACCGACGAUACGCGCUUUCGCGGCCCAACAGAUGCUGAUAAAUGAGUUUGACAAUUAUCAGGAUUUGCACAGCUCUGGCUAUUAUAUGUUUUUGAUAACAAAUCGCGCUUUUGGCUACUGGCUCGACUGUUUCUGUGCGCUCUAUAUAGCUGUGACUACAUUAAGUUUUUUGGUUUCCUCACCUGACAAUGGUGGCGAUGUCGGCUUGGCUGUGACUCAGGCCAUGGGCCUAACGGGUAUGGUGCAAUGGGGUAUGCGUCAAUCAGCUGAGCUCGAAAAUAGCAUGACGAGUGUAGAACGUCUAAUAGAGUAUGAAGAAAUUGAACCCGAAGGAGAACUUGAAAGUAAACUCAGUAAAAAACCACCGAAAACAUGGCCCGAACAGGGUAAAAUCGUAUUUGAUGAGCUUAGUCUACGCUAUUUUCCGGAUUCGAAAUCAGAUCGUGUAUUGAAAUCGUUAAGCUUUGAAAUACAACCAUCGGAAAAGGUGGGUAUUGUGGGACGCACCGGUGCAGGCAAAUCUUCGCUCAUCAAUGCGCUCUUUCGCCUAUCGUACAAUGAGGGUUCCAUCAUUAUAGACACAAGAAAUAUUGAGGAGUUGGGUUUGCAUGAUUUGCGCAGCAAAAUCUCCAUAAUACCACAAGAACCGGUGCUCUUUUCGGGCACAAUGCGUUAUAAUUUGGAUCCAUUCGACGAAUACUCAGAUGCCAAAUUAUGGGCUGUGCUUGAGGAGGUUGAACUGAAGGAUGCUGUGGCCGAGUUGCCGAGCGGCUUACAAAGCAAAAUAUCAGAGGGUGGUAGUAAUUUCAGUGUCGGUCAACGACAGUUGGUAUGCCUGGCACGUGCUAUACUACGUGAAAAUAAAAUUCUCGUGCUGGACGAGGCAACAGCAAAUGUAGAUCCGCAGACGGAUGCACUCAUACAAUUGACAAUAAGAAGUAAAUUCAAAUAUUGCACGGUUCUCACAAUUGCGCAUCGUUUGCACACGGUCAUGGACUCGGAUAAGGUGCUGGUCAUGGAUGCUGGACGCGCGGUGGAAUUCGACGCACCGUAUAAAUUGUUGACUGAAAGUGAAUCUAAAGUAUUCUACGACAUGGUAAAGCAAACCGGCAAUAGUGCGUACGAUAAUCUACUCAUGAUAGCUCGAAAGGCGUACGAACAGAAUCCUCGCUUCAAAAAUAAAACUGUAUAGAGUUACAGGAAUAACGGUCACAGCCAACAGGACGAUAUGUCUACUCAGGAAAUGUUUCCAUAUUUAACUAGGUACUACUUCAAACUAACACUGCUGACUAAAAGUUCGGCAUUUGAUUGUUCAACUGACAUAAGACAAUAUAUAACAUAGGCGUUCUAUGUUAGCGCUAUAUGAAUUUUACAAUAAUUAGUAAUUUUAAGAGGCAUGUACAUGUUUAUAUUUUACAAGAUCUAUGUAUGUAUAUGCUAUCGAAAAAUUAAUAGAAAAUUGCAAAGUAUAAUAUAUUAAGCUUAAAAUAUGUACUUAUUAUAUUUUUUUUAAGAGAAUAAGUAACAUCUCUGUGCUGUAAAUAUGUACUUAAAGCAUUUAUAUACAUGUAUACUUAUGAGUAUACAUAUGUGUACGUUUAAAUAGUAAUAAAUUGAUAUAUCCGAAGUUUCAGGAUAAGUCAUGUUACAAAAUGUACAACUUUAGUUUUACUCUGUUAAGAAAAAUUCAAUAAAAGUAGUUCAAUAGUAAAAUUAAGAUA